ACAUCUAAUAAUAUUGUGAUCAUUUAUUUUAUUUAAAGUACAAUCUUGUUAAUCACAUUUGUAUUUAUUUAAUUCUCUUAUUAUUAUUUAUUAUAAAUAGAUCCACAAAUCUGAGACAAACAUUUUAACAUUUAGAUAUUUAUUAGUAAAAAUAUAGUAUAAAACUUUGGUUGGAUAUUAUUAUAUUCACAACACUUAGCGAGAACCCUUACAAUNNNN
rnacentral:lncRNA from 1 species